UGUGGCUGGGGGUGAAAGGCCAAUCAAACCGGGAGAUAGCUGGUUCUCCCCGAAAGCUAUUUAGGUAGCGCCUCGUGAAUUCAUCUUCGGGGGUAGAGCACUGUUUCGGCUAGGGGGUCAUCCCGACUUACCAACCCGAUGCAAACUACGAAUACCGAAGAAUGUUAUCACGGGAGACACACGGCGGGUGCUAACGUCCGUCGUGAAGAGGGAAACAACCCAGACCGCCAGCUAAGGUCCCAAAGUCAUGGUUAAGUGGGAAACGAUGUGGGAAGGCACAGACAGCCAGGAUGUUGGCUUAGAAGCAGCCAUCAUUUAAAGAAAGCGUAAUAGCUCACUGGUCGAGUCGGCCUGCGCGGAAGAUGUAACGGGGCUAAACCAUGCACCGAAGCUGCGGCAGCGACACUAUGUGUUGUUGGGUAGGGGAGCGUUCUGUAAGCCUGCGAAGGUGACCUGUGAGGGUUGCUGGAGGUAUCAGAAGUGCGAAUGCUGACAUAAGUAACGAUAAAGCGGGUGAAAAGCCCGCUCGCCGGAAGACCAAGGGUUCCUGUCCAACGUUAAUCGGGGCAGGGUGAGUCGACCCCUAAGGCGAGGCCGAAAGGCGUAGUCGAUGGGAAACAGGUUAAUAUUCCUGUACUUGGUGUUACUGCGAAGGGGGGACGGAGAAGGCUAUGUUAGCCGGGCGACGGUUGUCCCGGUUUAAGCAUGUAGGCUGGUUAUCCAGGCAAAUCCGGAUAAUCAAGGCUGAGGUGUGAUGACGAGGCACUACGGUGCUGAAGUAACAAAUGCCCUGCUUCCAGGAAAAGCCUCUAAGCAUCAGGUAACAUCAAAUCGUACCCCAAACCGACACAGGUGGUCAGGUAGAGAAUACCAAGGCGCUUGAGAGAACUCGGGUGAAGGAACUAGGCAAAAUGGUGCCGUAACUUCGGGAGAAGGCACGCUGGUGUGUAGGUGAAGUCCCUGCGGAUGGAGCUGAGACCAGUCGAAGAUACCAGCUGGCUGCAACUGUUUAUUAAAAACACAGCACUGUGCAAACACGAAAGUGGACGUAUACGGUGUGACGCCUGCCCGGUGCCGGAAGGUUAAUUGAUGGGGUUAUCCGUAAGGAGAAGCUCUUGAUCGAAGCCCCGGUAAACGGCGGCCGUAACUAUAACGGUCCUAAGGUAGCGAAAUUCCUUGUCGGGU
rnacentral:rRNA from 1 species